rnacentral:rRNA from 1 species
CCUACGGGGGGCAGCAGUGGGGAAUAUUGGACAAUGGGGGGAACCCUGAUCCAGCCAUGCCGCGUGUGUGAAGAAGGCCCUCGGGUUGUAAAGCACUUUCAGUGAGGAAGAACGCCUGGUGGUUAAUACCCAUCAGUAAAGACAUCACUCACAGAAGAAGCACCGGCUAACUCCGUGCCAGCAGCCGCGGUAAUACGGAGGGUGCGAGCGUUAAUCGGAAUUACUGGGCGUAAAGCGCGCGUAGGUGGCUUGAUAAGCCGGUUGUGAAAGCCCCGGGCUCAACCUGGGAACGGCAUCCGGAACUGUCAAGCUAGAGUGCAGGAGAGGAAGGUAGAAUUCCCGGUGUAGCGGUGAAAUGCGUAGAGAUCGGGAGGAAUACCAGUGGCGAAGGCGGCCUUCUGGACUGACACUGACACUGAGGUGCGAAAGCGUGGGUAGCAAACAGGAUUAGAUACCCCAGUAGUC